CUUUCCCCAUAUUACCCCACCGCGGCUCUCUCUGCGCUCAGUCCGAGCCGCAGUCACUCCAACGUGCGAGGCGCAGCGGUACGGUGGGGUCCCCAACCUUCCUGCAGUGCAGAGAUCCACUCAACUCAUGAACCCAUACUGGCAACUGACAACUUCAAGGAUACCGUGAAUGUGUUUAUUAGGAAACAAAAUAGGAAAAUCUACAGACAAACAUUUAAUUUGGUUGGAGUAUUUUUGGAAAGAUUUAGGCUACUUACACAUAUUUUCGGGAUUUCUAUGGACAGUCAUAUGACCACAGCAAAUGCUCACGAGCAAUAAUAUAAUUAGUACUUUUGACCUUUCUCUUUAACCCUCAAGAUGGAUUUACAAACCCUGAACGAAACCUCUGUGUUCUUGGAGUGUGUGGAAGCGCAGGGCGCAGCGUCAAAUGGAACGCCGAACUCCAGCCUGGAACUCACAAACAUCACCACCUGUGGAAACGCUUACGUGGUCCUCAAACCGCAACAUGUCAAACAGAAAGAGGUGGACUCGCUGCGUAUCCUGCUCUACUCGGUAAUCUUCCUCCUCAGUGUGUUUGGCAACCUGCUAAUCAUUGUGGUCCUGACGGUCAACAAGCGCAUGAGGACGGUCACCAACUCCUUCCUGCUGUCCCUGGCGGUCAGCGACCUGAUGAUGGCCAUCUUCUGCAUGCCCUUCACCCUCAUCCCCAACCUCCUGGAGGACUUCAUCUUCGGGCCCGCCAUGUGCAAGAUAGUGGUUUACCUCAUGGGUGUUUCCGUGAGUAUCUCCACCUUCAGCCUGGUUGCCAUAGCAAUUGAGCGCUACAGCGCCAUCUGCAACCCGCUAAAGUCACGGGCGUGGCAGACCCGUUCCCAUGCCUACCGGGUGAUUACUGCCACCUGGCUGCUGUCCUUCAUGAUCAUGAGCCCCUACCCGGUGUUCAGCCACCUGGUCCAUGUCCCCCUGAAGGACAACAUCACCAUCGCACGCAUGUGUCGCCAUAUUUGGCCCCACAGGGAGGUGGAGCAGACCUGGAACAUGAUGUUGCUGCUUACGCUCUUUGUUGUUCCGGGUGUUGUGAUGAUCGUAGCCUAUGGACUUAUCUCCAGAGAGCUGUACCGGGGAAUCCAGUUUGAGCUGGGUCAGAAGACAUCAUCCCCCGGUCUAAAGAAUGGCCUGACCGGCACCGUGUCUUGCGGCAGUGACGACGGCGAUGGUUGCUACGUCCAGGUGUCCAAGCGUCCACACUCCAUGAAGAUGUCCACUCUGACAUCAUCUACGGCGAGCACAUCCAAAGUGGAGCAUGCCCGCAGCAACAACUCAGAGGCCAAGCUCCUAGCCAAGAAGCGUGUGAUCCGGAUGCUGGUGGUGAUCGUGGCUCUGUUCUUCCUGUGCUGGAUGCCACUCUACUGCGCCAACACCUGGAAGGCUUUCCACUCAGCCUCUGCCCGCCGUGCCCUCUCUGGUGCACCCAUCUCCUUCAUCCACCUACUGUCCUACACCUCGGCCUGCGUUAACCCCAUCAUCUACUGCUUCAUGAACACUCGUUUCCGCAAGUCGCUGCUUGCCACCUUCGCCUGCUGCUGUCGUCCGCCCUGCCGACGCCAAGGUCUGCGGGAUGGAGAGGAGGACGCAAUGGCUUUGGGGGUGUCCAUGUCCAAGUUUAGUUACACUACAGUCAGCACUAUGGGGCGUGCUGAGGGAGGGAUCACUGACUGACUGGGGGACAGGAGAGACCAGAGAGAUAUGUGAUAUAAGAUUAUGUUCGGGCGGUAUCCAGAUUUUCAUACCUUCCUACCAUUCCUGUACCAUACCGGGGUACAAGUUAUUACCGGCAUUGCACACAAGCGGCGCUAUUUAUUUUCAAAAGCAAAAAAACAACACCAACAAAACAUUUAAACAAUUCUUAUUUCUUUACUCACGAAACAAAUUUGGGCAGCAGGGAUCUUGAUCCAGGAGGUGAUUGACUUAUUUAACAUAUAUAUAAAUGCUAUGCCAUAAGCAGUGGCAUAGCAUUUAUAUAUUUACGGUAUUUGAAAUCAUACCGUCAGAAUUUCAAAAUUCCCCCAGUAUACUGCCCAAGGCUAGGGAAGAUGCACCCACAGUCUAUAAUGCUAAUGUCAAGACCAAUUGGCUCAGAGAUGUAUUAUCUAGUUAAACUAACCUACUCUAUGUCAAUGGGUAGAUCAAACCUGUAGUCCAUUAAAAAAGGGUACUCAUGACCUAUGGAGAAUGCACACCCAACAUACCCAAAAGGAAAAGGACAAUUAUACACUGUUAAAUAGUUGCAAAACAAAAGAAAAUAAUGGAAAUAUAAUAGCACUUUUUCAUUAGCAUUUGUCCCAAGUGAUGGAAAACAAUGUUUCAUUCAUUGGUAUAUGUAGCCUAUGUAGUUAUUUUGUUAUCAUCUGGGACUCAUGAAAACAGCUUGCAUUAAUUUUUACUGAUGAACCCCUGAUAUAGGAUGGGAACUAAUAUUAGGAUGGUAUAAAAGUGUUAUGUGUUGGUAGGGGGGUGUAUUCCUGAAUGAUACGCUAUGGGGUUGCAGUGCAGUAGCUUGAGGAAUAGUAUUAGUAAUACCAUUUGCAAAGCUUCUACUUAUUUUCACGUGGCUUUGGGUUUUUAUAAUGCUGAUUAUGUGCUUAUUAUUAGUGUUGUCAAUGUCCUGAUGAUGAGAAACUCUGGUGUGGACUGUCAGUGCGUGCCUGUAAAUGCUGAUCUUUCUUUGAGUGUCAUCUGUUUGCUGUGCUGUGGAUUAUGUAAUUCAUGACGGACGUUGUAAAUACGGUGUUGCUACAUCAUGGUCUUAGCCAGACUGGAUUGGAGGCCAGACUCAACUGCUACCAAACCAACCUUACCUUACCGAAGACAGCAGCGAUAAUGAAAGAACACUCUCCAUUCGUCUGGGCAUGGACUCUACAAGGUGUCAAAAGCGUUCCACAGGGAUGCUGGCCAAUGUUGACUCCAAUGCUUCCGACAGUUGUACCAAGUUGGCUGGAUGUCCUUUGGGUGGUGGACCAUUCCUGAUACACAUGGGGAAACUCUUGAGCGUGAAAGAACAAGCCACAUUGCAGUUCUUGACACACUCAAACCGGUGCACCUGACACCUACUACCAUACUCCGUUCAAAGGCACUUAAAUCUUUGGCGUACCCAUACACCCUCUGAAGGGAACACCUACACAAUCCAUGUCUCAAUUAGCUCACCUUCAUCGACACUGAUUGAAGUAGAUUUAACAAGUGACAUCAAAAAGGGAUCAUAGCUUUCACAUGGAUUCACCUGGU